CUACUUCUCCAGGUUUUCAAAUGUAUCUGUAGAUUUGUUUUCCCCUGAUGGUUAGAGUAUUCAAGGUUGUGAAUAUGGUGGGCCGUGCACGCUGCCCGCGGCACGAAGGCGUCGAUCCGAUCGAGAGCCCUUCGCGGUGGACAAAGCCUUCCUCCUCUCCGGCAAUGAGGGCAUCGUCGCUAACGUGACCACGUGGCAGAGCUCGCUGCCCCAUCCUUCUUCAUCUUCACCAAGUGAGGAACUCUCUUGACCCCCUUCCCCACCCUCCUUGUCUUUGGAGUUCGGAUGGCUGGAGAACACGGUGUUUGGUCAUGGCUUCUAGAAGGUGGUGUUUUGCAUUUAAAAAGGAAAAAAAAUUGGAGCAUAAUCCAAAGCUUUGCUUGUAGAUGGGGAAGAGGUGAUGAUAGAGGUAGGAGUAGGUCAGCAGUAGGAUGGAGUGGCCAGGCAGCUCGGUGCCCACCCGUCUUCAUCGAACGGGCCGGGACCCUCUUCCCCUCCAGCAGGCUAUUCUCAGUUUUGAGAACAAGAUUAAAAUAGCUUCAUAAGCUUUUAUGUGGUUCAUACACUAACGAAAUAAAUCGAAUGGCGAAACAUGCCUGUUGCGUGCUUAAUAUGAUGUCAGAUCGAUCCCCCGACAAACUCUCCUCUGAUAAAUACUUGCGGACAUCAACGAAGUAAUUGUGUUCGGCGGCGCACCGUGGCGAAGGUAGUCGACACCAACCUCUUCAGCGUACCCUACGAACGGCGAAUUCAGCAACAAAACAGUGAGGCUGAGGGAUCUGCCAAACGAGUUGGAAAGAUCAGCAACAACCAGAUUCUCAUCGCAGCAUCAGCGAGCUCGUGCAACAACCAGCAGCGCGCCCGCUACGCAACGCCCGAGGCCAUCUAGGAUGAAAUGCUAAGAAAUAGAGCUUGUUAUAGUCGUCUUAUUUCUUCCCCUAAAGAAAUAGUAAUUACGUACACAAUUUGUUGAGACAUCAGUGACUUGACUGGUCAAACCAAAACUGUCAGGAUCAGUUCUCUCCUGCAGGUUCCAGUAUGCCAAGGCCAUGUUUGAACGGAAUCAGGUAGGUCCAGGUAGCUGUGCCACUCUGUGGAACCCAUUUCAUAAUUUGGUAAACUGUCAGGAAUCAUCAUAUCAGAAUUCUUCUACUGUCUGACUCACGGCUUCGGGAAAAUGUUGUCCACGUAUAUUCUUAGUUGGAUGCAAAUUCAAGCAACGGUCGAAUCAUCAUAUCAGAAUUCUUCUACUGUCGAAUCAUCAUAUCAGGAUCAGUUCUCUUCAGAAUUCUUCUGACUGAACACGUAACUUCUGACAAUCGGAGUAUUGCAUCUUUAUCUAUAUGUAUGCACAUUGGGUUGAAAUUCUAUGCAGUGUCAAAAGGUACACAGUUUACAAGAUUACAUUUUCAUUACAAGAUGCUUGAUUGCAACCAAUAUUUUCAUUUCUUUGGUGCUUGUGUAGAAGUAUCGCCUUGCAAAGUAUGUACCAGACUCUCAUGCUGAAGGUUUCAAGGACGGCAAGAAAGUUCAAGGAUUAUGUACCAGGAUUGCAAAUCAAUGAGGCACUAAAGAUGCAAAUGGAAGUUCAGAAGCGGCUACACGAGCAACUGGAGGUAUUUGAAAGUAUUUGAGAUAAAUAAUGAUGCUAAAAUGAAAAGGACAAUGCGACGUCCCCUGCCAUCUGGUCGUGUUAGUUCUACACAUGCUGCCAUGUGGGCUACCUUGUGGGUGAUCGGCCAAGACCACCAACUGAAGAAAUUUUUGAUUGACUGUGGAUCCUUUCUGUCCAUGGGAGCUGCUGCAAUUUUCUCACCUUGUCUUACAUAGUGCCGGUCCUGUAUGAGGUCACCCUCAGAUGAACUUCAGUGAUUGCUCCCAGGCGCGGCAUGCAUGCUUUGCUUUAUUCACAGGAUCUUUGCAUCAUACAAUUCCAUGUGGGGAUUUCAGCUCUCUUUAAUUUCUUAGGGAGUUUUUUUUGUAGACUAUUGAUUAAGAGAAAACCAAUGAUCAGGUCUCCAUAACCUAACAUGAUUAUGCGUUGGGAGAGCCCAUCAUUUAUCAUGAUUCAAGUGCUGACCGGCACUUGAGACAUUGUUAAUAAGCUGGUGAUUGUUAGCACCUUCAUAAUUCGCAUGCACUUAUUAGCGGUCAAACAAAAUAGCAAAUGCUGUUUUUUUGUUAGCUCAUGCCAAUCAUUUCCAUGCAUCCUUCAUACCUGAGAAAAAAAUCUAAUAAAACUUUUAUCCAUCGAUUCUGUUUUACUAAUUAGAUGGAUGAGCAAGGGAGAAGGGAAAUUGAAACCCUCUCUAUCCAUCUUUUGGCGGUAGAUACAUGUCAUUUGUAGUUUUGUACCUCUGACUGAAUGAGCAAGGACAAUGUUUUCUCAAAAACAGAUAGAGCUAUGAGCUAGCAACAAGACAUUGGCCCUAGACCGAUAGGCAGUUAGGCAACACCUGAAGAUAGUAGUAUAGUAAUGGUCUCCGAUGUUUUCCAUACACAUUAGAUGAUUUAUUUGCACUAGAAAAAAAGUUUUACUUUUGUUGAUCUCAAAAUAACAUGGUACAGUUGCCCGUGGUGCAUGGGGGUGUUUUUGUAGUCACGCGCGUCCAUACUUGGAGUGAUAGAGAGGAAGAUGGAGGACAGGCUUGAGAAGAUGAGCAGGGAGAAGUCAAGCGUGGAGGAGGACGACCUUCUUGGAUGGGCCCUGAAGCAAUCCAACCUGUCCAAGGAACAGAUCCUGGACCUCUUGCUGAGCCUGCUCUUCGCGGGGCACGAGACUUCGUCGAUGGUGCUCGCCCUCGCCAUCUUCUUCCUCGAAGGGUGUCCUAAGGCCGUGCAAGAACUCCGGGUACAAAUCCGAACCAACAAUCAGUUAAUUUUACAGA